AGAGUUUGAUCAUGGCUCAGAAUCAACGCUGGCGGCGUGCCUAACACAUGCAAGUCGCACGAGAAAGGGACUUCGGUCCUGAGUACAGUGGCGCACGGGUGAGUAACACGUGAAUCAUCUACCUUCGAGUGGGGAAUAACUGAGAGAAAUCUUAGCUAAUACCGCAUAAAACCUACGGGUCAAAGCAGCAAUGCGCUUGAAGAGGAGUUCGCGGCAGAUUAGUUAGUUGGCGGGGUAAUGGCCCACCAAGACGAUGAUCUGUAUCCGGCCUGAGAGGGCGCACGGACACACUGGAACUGAAACACGGUCCAGACUCCUACGGGAGGCAGCAGUGGGGAAUUUUGCGCAAUGGGGGAAACCCUGACGCAGCAACGCCGCGUGGAGGAUGAAAUCCCUUGGGAUGUAAACUCCUUUCGAUAGGGAAGAUAAUGACGGUACCUAUAGAAGAAGCCCCGGCUAACUUCGUGCCAGCAGCCGCGGUAAUACGAGGGGGGCAAGCGUUGUUCGGAAUUAUUGGGCGUAAAGGGUGCGUAGGCGGUUUGACAAGUCUUAUGUGAAAUCUAUGGGCUCAACCCAUAGUCUGCAUGGGAAACUGUCGGGCUUGAGUAUGGGAGAGGUGAGUGGAAUUUCCGGUGUAGCGGUGAAAUGCGUAGAUAUCGGAAGGAACACCUGUGGCGAAAGCGGCUCACUGGACCAUAACUGACGCUGAUGCACGAAAGCUAGGGGAGCAAACAGGAUUAGAUACCCCGGUAGUCC
rnacentral:rRNA from 1 species